AGCGAACGCUGGCGGCAGGCUUAACACAUGCAAGUCGAGCGGGCACCUUCGGGUGUCAGCGGCAGACGGGUGAGUAACACGUGGGAACGUACCCUUCGGUUCGGAAUAACGCUGGGAAACUAGCGCUAAUACCGGAUACGCCCUUAUGGGGAAAGGUUUACUGCCGAAGGAUCGGCCCGCGUCUGAUUAGCUAGUUGGUGGGGUAACGGCCUACCAAGGCGACGAUCAGUAGCUGGUCUGAGAGGAGGAUCAGCCACACUGGGACUGAGACACGGCCCAGACUCCUACGGGAGGCAGCAGUGGGGAAUAUUGGACAAUGGGCGCAAGCCUGAUCCAGCCAUGCCGCGUGAGUGAUGAAGGCCUUAGGGUUGUAAAGCUCUUUUGUCCGGGACGAUAAUGACGGUACCGGAAGAAUAAGCCCCGGCUAACUUCGUG
rnacentral:rRNA from 1 species